CAGCCGUAAACUAUGCGCGUUAGGUGUAUCGGUGACCACGAGUCACCGAGGUGCCGAAGGGAAACCGUGAAACGUGCCGCCUGGGAAGUACGGUCGCAAGGCUGAAACUUAAAGGAAUUGGCGGGGGAGCACCACAACAGGUGGAGCCUGCGGUUUAAUUGGACUCAACGCCGGGAAGCUCACCGGAUAGGACAGCAGAAUGAUUGCCGGGCUGAAGACCCUGCAUGACUAGCUGAGAGGAGGUGCAUGGCGUAGACGUCCU
rnacentral:rRNA from 1 species